AGUGUAGGCGGCUUCGUAAGUCGGAUGUGAAAGCCCCGGGCUUAACCUGGGAAUGGCAUUCGAUACUGCGCGGCUAGAGUCUGAUAGAGGAAGUGGAAUUCCAGGUGUAGCGGUGAAAUGCGUAGAGAUCUGGAGGAACACCAGUGGCGAAGGCGGCUUCCUGGAUCAAGACUGACGCUGAGGCUCGAAAGCGUGGGGAGCAAACA
rnacentral:rRNA from 1 species